rnacentral:rRNA from 1 species
AGAGUUUGAUUCUGGCUCAGGACGAACGCUGGCGGCGUGCUUAACACAUGCAAGUCGAGCGGUAAGGCCCUUUCGGGGGUACAUGAGCGGCGAACGGGUGAGUAACACGUGGGUGACCUGCCCUCAGCUCUGGGAUAAGCCCGGGAAACUGGGUCUAAUACCGGAUAUGACUCCAUGACGCAUGUUGUGGGGUGGAAAGCCUUGUGCGGCUGAGGAUGGGCCCGCGGCCUAUCAGCUUGUUGGUGGGGUGAUGGCCUACCAAGGCGACGACGGGUAGCCGGCCUGAGAGGGCGACCGGCCACACUGGGACUGAGACACGGCCCAGACUCCUACGGGAGGCAGCAGUGGGGAAUCUUGCGCAAUGGGCGAAAGCCUGACGCAGCGACGCCGCGUGAGGGAUGACGGCCUUCGGGUUGUAAACCUCUUUCAGCUCCGACGAAGCGGAAGUGACGGUAGGAGCAGAAGAAGCACCGGCCAACUACGUGCCAGCAGCCGCGGUAAUACGUAGGGUGCAAGCGUUGUCCGGAAUUAUUGGGCGUAAAGAGCUCGUAGGCGGUCUGUCGCGUCGGCUGUGAAAACUCGGGGCUCAACUCCGAGCUUGCAGUCGAUACGGGCAGGCUAGAGUUCGGCAGGGGAGACUGGAAUUCCUGGUGUAGCGGUGAAAUGCGCAGAUAUCAGGAGGAACACCGGUGGCGAAGGCGGGUCUCUGGGCCGAUACUGACGCUGAGGAGCGAAAGCGUGGGGAGCGAACAGGAUUAGAUACCCUGGUAGUCCACGCCGUAAACGUUGGGCGCUAGGUGUGGGAUCCCUUCCACGGGUUCCGUGCCGCAGCUAACGCAUUAAGCGCCCCGCCUGGGGAGUACGGCCGCAAGGCUAAAACUCAAAUGAAUUGACGGGG